UGUCGGAAGUAUCUCACGGUUGUUUCCGGCUGGUUGUCAGAGACGCUUUGGUUUUGGUUCGCUGUUUUGUAAACAGAGAUUUUUUUUUUUUUAAGUAGUCAGUGCUAUUCAAUUCUGGACUGAACACGUUCGUCAACUGGUACCACGAACCUAUACAUCUUAACUAAUAAACACUGAGACUUCAUAACAAUAUGUUUGUAAACACCAGACAAUUAUAUAAUAUGACCCUAUAGGUGCGUUUUUCAAAUGUAAUAUGUUACACUUUUUAAAAUUUCGGCUGUGAUUUGGUUAGUCAUAACGAAAGAAGAUACGAUUAUCAUCAACCAUAGUGAGGGAAGGUAUUUAGUUAUGGUGAAGACCAUACAUUUGAUGCUCAGAAAUUUUAAACUAGUUUAUGUGUUAAUAUAGGUUUAGCAUUCUGGAUUCAACCUUACAGCGACAUGCAGAUUUGACUGAAAAACCCUGGAAAAUUGUGGCAGCACCGCUACCAGAGAUGGAGUGGCAGGGAGAGUAUCUGCAGGACCAUUCGUUUUUAGACUGCUUACUCAGUGGGGUGCCUGGGAAUUUGGAACUGCAACAAGUGCUUGAUGACACAGAGGAGAAGCUGAAGUUGAAUGCCUUGUGCAUUGAACAGAGACUGAAGGAGCUGCAGGUGGAACUGAAUGAUACCUGGACCGGAGAGAAGCUGCCAUGUACGACUGACAACCCGCAGUGGUUCAGCCCCAGCAAUUUCAGCUCACUCAAACCAUCCUGUACUGGCCAUCAGGAUCUACUGGACUUCCUAAAAGCCCUGCAACAUUUCCUGAAGACGGAGCAAGGUCAGGAGGAAACGUUGCUGCUGCUCCUGCUUGACAUCUCCUCUCAGUGUGGUGUCUCCUUCCCAUCUCCUCCGAGCGGAUCGUCCUUCCAGCUGACCUCCAGAACCUCCCUACACGCUGUCGGGGAUGACUUCUCCAUUGAUGUCCAGUCAGUGUGGGAUGACGUGCGGCUACACCUCAGGCGAUUCCUGGUGGACAAACUGCAAUGCAGCCAGGAGGUGGGUCACCAGCUCCAUCACAGGGUGGCCUUCAAGACACAGUGUCUCCAGCAGCUUCUAUUCCUCUACCCGGAGUCAGAGGUCCUGUCAAAGUACCAGAGCAUCCAGAGCAAAGCAGUGCAGGAUCUCCUGCAGAACUCGGUGCUCUCCAGCCCUGGAGAAACCAAUUUCGACAAACUGGUCCAAGCCCACCAGAGAGGCAUCCCUUCUAUCUGCUCCAUGAUCAAGGAAGAUCUGCAAAUGCUCAACGGGAUUAUGGAGCCUUCAAUGACCCUAAAGUUUCUUAACGAAACAUACCUCUCCAACAUUACUGACGAGUUGUCCACUCUGAUCGAGAAGAUUUGUGACCUGCAGUUUAAAGAAAAUGUAAUGCACGCCACUAAAAUGGACAAAAGCAAGCAGAAAGGAGCAGUGCACGCUAUGGCUCUGCAGGAAAGGCCUAAAAAAGGGAGGAAUUUCUGCCUGACCUCACAUCAGUUGAGGUGUCUUGCCCAACUCAUGAAAUCCCUUUUGUGCAUGGAGGAAAGAAUAUUGGAACUUGCUACUGAAGUUUCCUUUUUGAACUGUGGAGGGGAGGCUGCCAGCAGCAUACAAGGAAUGUUGAAGAAAACAUGUGAGGACACUGAUAUGACCCCAGCUGAGACCAGUAAGCAAACUGCUGAACAGCUACUACAGGUCACAGAGCCUGCUGUUUUGGAGUUUGAUUGGAGGUGUGCUUUCAAAGACCUUGCUCCUGCUGUAGCCCACUGUGUCAAGGUGGUGCUGGAAGACAUCUGUGUGAAGAGGUUACAGCAGGAGGAGAACUUCCACUCAUCAGACUCCUCGAGGGUCAUGGAUCUUUGCAGUCUGCAGCAGGACGAUCAGAUCUGCUUGCCAAGCAGGACAGAAGAACCACCACAGAGAAUUGCCAAGUUCUGCGCUGACAUCAUGGAAGAACUCGACAUGUUGCUUCCACUUGCCCUGGCGUGCAGAAAGGACUUUCUGCAGGAAAUUAUAGAAAACUUUGUGGAGGUCUGCAGCAAAGUAACAGCAGCUGUUCUUACAAGGCUGGAGGAGAGGAGUAAGGAGGUUCCCUUGAAAUCGCCUAUUCAAAACCUGCACACCCUGCUCUCCACUGCCAUCCAUGUCCUCCAGCGUUUGACCCAGUAUGAGGCCAGGCUGAAGGGUGCUAGCUGCAAGCCCCUCUUCCCUCUAUCAGUCCAGAGGUACCAGGAAUUGAUCAGCGCCCUCCAGGAUCAAGUUACCAGCUACUGCGUCACAGUCUGCACUACGAGCAUCCUGCAGGAUCCCGAGAGCCACCACUGGGAUGACCCCAAGGUUUUUUAUGAGGGGGAGAGGUGCUCGUUUUCCAUCCAGAUGUGGCACUAUUACCUCUCAGCUCUGCGGCAUGAUCUCUGGAGUGUGCUUCCUCCCAGCCUUGCCCAGGAGAUCCUAGCACAGGUGCUGAGCCAAACUUUGGAAAUGUUAGUGCAGAGGUACUCACAGGCACGCCCGACGUAUAGGAGGACCUUACAGAUCAGGACUGAUAUUACAGCCAUACUGCUGUGCACUGAGAACCUGAUCUGGUCACUCUGUAGUACAAGAGAGGAGCUGCUUCAUCCAAGUAGAGAUAUCUGUCCCUGGAUCUUUUCUAUUCACAGCCACUGCAAUCACCUGCUUACUGCGCUGGCCAUUGUAACUUCACCCCUGCACAGUCUCUUUGAGACAUUUCAGAAGGGUCCGGGUGACCUUUCCUCUCUAUCGACUUCAGAAAACUCUAGCUACCAUCUCUUACAGUGGCUGCGUUUCAUUAAGUCAUCUUUGUUCUCUCAAGAAUCUCUCGGGACAUUGUCAGCUGAUGAAAUAGCUUCCCAGUGCCAUCUGAAAUUGAUGUUAUCCCAACCAAGUUGUAAUCUGAGCUUGUUGCUGCAAACACUACUUCAUAACCGCUGCCUGAUACUAAAAGUGUUGCUAAAGAUUUCAAACUAUGAAACGGAUGAGAAAGGACUGUCCAUGGAGGCAGUGUUUAUGGUGUUGACCAGUUUAAACAUCCUGCCCAAAUCUCUCUGUUUUGUUCUUGAAAGCUAUCUUGAUGAGCAACAGUUAUGGGAUCAUUUGUAUAACCUGCCAGAUUCCAGCAAACCAGAGACAGAGGUCCUGAAGUGUCUGAGACUCGCCGUGACCAAGCCCAUCAUGAGCGCAGUGAACCAGAUAAUGUCCAUGGUGUACGCGUGGCAGGCGGCUGAGCAUCAUGGGACAUGCCAGCAUAGACAAAUGGCUCCUGAGAGUCUGCUGAAUAAAAUCCCCAAGGACUGGAAUUAUGUACCCCGAGAACUGAAAAGGAAGGAGUCUGGAAAAAGUUUUACAAAACUAGUGGCACAAGCGGUUUCCUUCAUAUUUACCAACUUGCCAACCAUGAUCGCCUCCUUGCCUGUGGCAGUGAAAUACCUAUUUUAUAUAGGAGAGAAGAAGCUUUCUCGAAAUACUGUCCCCCUCAAACAAACUGGCCUGCUCAUCUGGACCUUCACAUCAUACCUCUGCCGGACGCUGGACGACGGAAACGCCAUCGAGCUGCUGACGGGGGUCGCUCUAGACAGGUGGAGCAAGGAGACACUGGGCUUGCUGAGUGAGUGUCUGCAGAACAUUGUGGGGCAGCAAAAGGGAAUCCCCAAACCAGUGGUGCAGAAGAUUAUCCAAAAUAUGGAGGUACAGAGGCCGCAAUGGAUAAAGGGACAGCUACAGAAAGCAAGGAAGCUGUGCACUAAAGGGGCUUUUGAACCAGCAGAAAGCACUGUCGUGCAAGAGAAAGGGAUCGCGUCUGAAUUGACUGAGCAGAAAAUAGGCAUGAUGGUCCUGGAUAUCUGCCACAAACCAGGUGGCAGCGAGUACCUGAGGCAAAUUUAUCACAUCAUCCAACUCAAUGAGGAGUAUCUCAAAACUGAGAUUUCCACUGUAAAAGAUUCAGCAGCAGAACCUCAUCAAAGACCAUUAAAGUUAAAUCAUAAGGAUUCGGAACAACAGCAGCAGCCCUCUGUUUUCAGCCCUCUAAAGGAGUUCUGCUGCAUUGGGAGCAAUAAGUUUGACCAGUCAGCCAUAACUGAGUGGGACUGGGACUGGUCGAAACUGCUGCCAGGUUAUCUGGGACUCAGUCAGGUGACCUUGAGGGCGCUGCUGGCGAACAGGUAAAUGUACUGCCUGGCUCUCAGGAUGGAAAAAAAAUGUGAAUUUGGUAUUCGGGUUGACUGGCAAGGAAGUGGGAUGAUUAACUAUUACAAAACCAUUAUACUCCAAGACAGUGCUUGUGAAGGCAUGGCCCAGCUGAGGCCGUCAGGAAGAGGCCGGAGUCAACCGGAAGAUGCCAGGACUUCACUAGGCCAAGUAUAGAGAGGUUUCAUCGGGUAGUAGGUUCCUGGAGCGGACGUUCCUUUUAGUGGAUUAGCCUUGUGUGGCAACCUUUUAUUUUUAGCUUUGUUGUGUUUUCCUUUCUUUAGUAAAUCCGGCGCUAGGACACCCACUGCCCUGUGUCUGAUUCAGUAUUAUUCAGUGACAACCCACAUACCUAACACUUCACCCUGUUAUAGUUCCCUACAAGCCUUAUAGGUCAGAAGUAGGACUUUAAAAUCAAUUCUCUGCUUCAGAGGCAGCCAGUGUAAGGAAGCCAAGACAGGGCUAAGAGAAUUAAGGUCUCUACAUACCGGACGCUAUGCAACAAGCGAAUGUGUCGUACAACACACGGCACCAUGAUUAAAUAUGAUUUAAUUACUAUAUAUGUAAUAUAUAGUUGAAAAACCUGAACCUAAUUCGAACUUGUUUUGUCUUGUACAGACACACUGAUAGUUGUUUUGUUGUAUUAAUAACGUUUGUUAAUAUAUUUGUAUAGGGAAGGAGAGGGGGGAGUGAAAUUUGCCAUCACAUCACCACUGGUGUGAAUGGUAUUGUCGCGGCGAAAAUACCAUUUUAUCGCUGGACAAAUUGCAUCGUGUACAGUGUCUGGAGACCUUUACAGACAUCAAUCCUUGAAGAGACAAAAGCCUGAAUCAGGAUCUCUGCAUCCUUUUGACAUAGCAUGGGCCGAAUUCUAGAAAUAUUCCUAAACUGAAAAUAGGACGUUUUUGUAGUCACAUGGAUGUGAGAGUCUAAAGAGAGCUCAGGAUCAAAGAUAACUCCAAGAUUCCUUACUGCAGAUUCAAGUUCAAGUUGACUGUCAUCAAAAGAAGAGAAUGUACAUUGCUGUACGUGUUUAGUCAUACUGAUAGACAUUGAGCUUGCAUCCUGUCUCUAUCUUGUCGUGCUGAAUGCAGAUCUCAGUGAGUGUUCUCACCCAGAUCGAGCAGGGGGCGCCUCUGUCUUCUGUAAUGAGGUGUGGAGUGGCUUCAGGGCAUAGGGAGGGAAAAUUAGGAACAUUAUCCCAGAUUCCUCGCUGCUGUCCACACCACUGGCUGAUGAUUAGGGCGGGCACUGGCCACCAGGGGGCUCUGUCUCUCCCAGCAGGGGGCAGUAGAGACGCAGGCCUGGAUUUUGCUAAGUGACAUAAGGAAAACUAAAAAAUACAUUUAUUUUGUUAAAAAAAAAUACAUUUAAGUGUUAGGAAUGAUGCAAGUUAAUAUGCAGGUCAUAAUGUCAUUGC